GUGAAUCAUUUGUUAAUGAAUAAAAUUGAUUUACAUAUAAAAUCUAUAAUAAUAAAUUAACUAUAAUAUUUAAAUAAGUAAGUGUGUAUGUUCAUUAUUUUAUGUAUAUACAAAUAUAAUAUAAAAAAAAAAAUUAAUUUAUAAUCUAAAUGAAAUUAUAAAAAUAUUGAAUAUUAAAUAUACCAUGUACAUUAAUUUAAUUUAAAAAAAAAAAAACAAAAACAAAAAGGACGCAGGAGAAAAUACAAAAAAAAAUACACCGAGAAAAAAAUUGUUGAACAAAAACAAAAAAGCAGUUCUAACGCUGUAAAUUUCGUAACGAAAUUAAACAUUAAAUCACGGACCAAUAAGUCACCCUAAUGAUUCAUACAUAAUAAAUUCAGUAUAUAAAUAUAUAUACCAUCAAGUGUAUAUAUACCAUCGUACAGGUAACCAUUAUACAAAAACUAACGAAAAUAAAAAGAAAAAAAUUUACAAUUCUUGGAAAAUACAAAAAUAAAAAAAAAAGGAUAUUUCAGGGAUAUUUUCUGUUUUAAUAUUAUAUACAAACAAUAGGGAGAAAAUCGUUUCAACAAUUUAAUGCUCUUUAGAAAAAAAAAUUUAAAAAAAAAAAAUAUAUAUUAAAAACACUCACUCAUCUUAUUAUUCUGUUGCCUUUAGCAGUUAAAGAAUUAAAUGAAAACAAAAAAAAAAAAAACUAAAAUAAAUAAAUAAAGGACGAAACGAAAAAGGACGAAAAAAUUUUUUUAUUAUUGGCUUUUCUUUAACCUCUGGAUUUUUGGCUUUUAUUCCCUGUUUUUUCUUAUAAUAUUGUGUUCCAUUACUCGUAUGCAUAAUAUAUUGGGAAUUUAAAUAUCAAAAACUAUUUAAUAAAAUUUUACAAUGUAAAAGAAGCAGAGAAAGAAAAAUUGUGAAAAAUUCGAUAUUUUUUUUUUCUUUAAUUUUUUUGUUUUUUAGUUUUUGAAAAAAAAUUUAAAGAAAAAUUUUAAAUGACAAAAGAAUUUUAAUCUAACUGUUAAAAAUAAAUAGAAGGAGAUAAUUUUUAAAAUAUAAACAUAUUAUAUAAAAGUGAUAUAUAUACUCGUAUAUAUAUAAAUAUGCAUAUAUACACACACACAUAACUGUUAUAUACAAAUAUUAUAUAUUUUAUAAUAAAUUUUAAAUAUAUUAUUAAAAUUAAUUAAAAAAAAAAAUACAAAAAAUUAACACCAUUAUUUGCUCAUUCUCAUCUCAGCCAUCUCAAUAAUAACUGAGAAUUUAAAUCAAAAAUUUAAUUAUUAAACAAGAAACACACCAAUACACUAA